UCUAUGGCUUAAGUGUAGGCAGAGAGGUAAAUCAUUGAAAAUAUAGAACACUUUCUGUUUAGAUCAAGGGUGAUUUCUUAGAUCCAGUUUAUGUCAAUCAAACUGUUUUGCUAACUCUGAGACAAAAAAGUCAUUAACGGCAGAAUUUUUAGACUCUGAGUUAGCCCUACGCCUUCCCUCCUUAUUUAUUAGUUAUUUUUUAAAUGUGAGUAAAAUCUGAGUCAUUUUUUUUCUUGGUUAAAUGACUUUGCAGCAGCUGUGUCUCCACAUAUUCUCAGAUGCUGUCAUG
rnacentral:lncRNA from 1 species